rnacentral:tRNA from 1 species
UUCCUUUUAGCUUAAGUUUAAAGCGUUAAUUUGAAGAGUUAAAAAUAGUGUUACAACUAAAGGAAA